GAAAUGCGAUAAGUAAUGUGAAUUGCAGAAUUCAGUGAAUCAUCGAAUCUUUGAACGCACCUUGCGCUCCUUGGUAUUCCUUGGAGCAUGCCUGUUUGAGUAUCAUGAAAUCUUCAAAGUAAAUCUUUUGUUAACUCAAUUGGUUUCUACUUUGGUAUUGGAGGUCUUUGCAGCUUCACACCUGCUCCUCUAUGUUCAUUAGCUGGAUCUCAGUGUUAUGCUUGGUUCCACUCGGCGUGAUAAGUUAUCUAUCGCUGAGGACACUGUAAAAGGUGGCCAAGGUAAAUGCAGAUGAACCGCUUCUAAUAGUCCAUUGACUUGGACAAUACUUUUAUGAUCUGAUCUCAAAUCAGGUAGGACUACCCGCUGAACUUAAGC
rnacentral:misc_RNA from 1 species